rnacentral:rRNA from 1 species
GUCGNNCGGCAGCGCGGGGCAACCUGGCGGCGAGUGGCGAACGGGUGGGUAAUAUAUCGGAACGUACCCUGGAGUGGGGGAUAACGUAGCGAAAGUUACGCUAAUACCGCAUACGAUCUAAGGAUGAAAGUGGGGGAUCGCAAGACCUCAUGCUCCUGGAGCGGCCGAUAUCUGAUUAGCUAGUUGGUGGGGUAAAGGCCUACCAAGGCAUCGAUCAGUAGCUGGUCUGAGAGGACGACCAGCCACACUGGAACUGAGACACGGUCCAGACUCCUACGGGAGGCAGCAGUGGGGAAUUUUGGACAAUGGGCGAAAGCCUGAUCCAGCAAUGCCGCGUGAGUGAAGAAGGCCUUCGGGUUGUAAAGCUCUUUUGUCAGGGAAGAAACGGUGAGAGCUAAUAUCUUUUGCUAAUGACGGUACCUGAAGAAUAAGCACCGGCUAACUACGUGCCAGCAGCCGCGGUAAUACGUAGGGUGCAAGCGUUAAUCGGAAUUACUGGGCGUAAAGCGUGCGCAGGCGGUUUUGUAAGUCUGUCGUGAAAUCCCCGGGCUCAACCUGGGAAUUGCGAUGGAGACUGCAAGGCUAGAAUCUGGCAGAGGGGGGUAGAAUUCCACGUGUAGCAGUGAAAUGCGUAGAGAUGUGGAGGAACACCGAUGGCGAAGGCAGCCCCCUGGGUCAAGAUUGACGCUCAUGCACGAAAGCGUGGGGAGCAAACAGGAUUAGAUACCCUGGUAGUCCACGCCCUAAACGAUGUCUACUAGUUGUCGGGUUUUAAUUAACUUGGUAACGCAGCUAACGCGUGAAGUAGACCGCCUGGGGAGUACGGUCGCAAGAUUAAAACUCAAANNAAUUGANNGGGACCCGCACAAGCGGNG